rnacentral:rRNA from 1 species
UACGUAGGGUGCAAGCGUUAAUCGGAAUUACUGGGCGUAAAGCGUGCGCAGGCGGUUAUGUAAGACAGAUGUGAAAUCCCCCGGGCUCAACCUGGGAACUGCAUUUGUGACUGCAUAGCUAGAGUACGGUAGAGGGGGAUGGAAUUCCGCGUGUAGCAGUGAAAUGCGUAGAUAUGCGGAGGAACACCGAUGGCGAAGGCAAUCCCCUGGACCUGUACUGACGCUCAUGCACGAAAGCGUGGGGAGCAAAACGAGG